GACCUUGUUUUCCUGGCAUUAUAAAAAGCGAAACUGCAUUGCUUCCAUUAAAACUGAGAAUAGACGUAGGUAGACGGAAACAUCCGUGCGACAUUUCGAAGACCACCAAAUCUGAAGGAAUGCCUCCUACAAGAAAAGAUUCCGCCACCUUAUUGGCAAGAUCAAUUUCUUUACUAAUGUUAGCACAUGCAGUUUUGGGUGCGAGUGGGCGGUCUGGCAACCGCAACACUAACAGAUGUGACUCCAGGGUUUCCGAGUGCCGCUAUCCUUUCGAUUGCUAUUGCUUCUGGAACAUGAGCCUAGGACCUGUGGAUGAAGGGUGGUUUCACUUUGACCAUAAUUCAAAAAUAUGUCAACCAAAAGCAAGGAAGAACAACUGCAACGGAUUUCAAACUAGGUCCGACUGUACGGAAAGGUGCUCCAAUUUGACGUCAGUUCCCUCCUCCUGGAAAACCAUUCGCAAUGGUACAGAGAUCUCUGGCGAAUAAAAACACGCCUUUAAUAAAAUGACCGUAAUCGA